rnacentral:rRNA from 1 species
CAAUAGCGUAUAUUCAAGGUGCUGCGGUUGAAAAGCUCGUAGUUGGAUUUCUGCCGAGGACGACCGGUCCGCCCUCUGGGUGAGUAUCUGGCUCGGCCUGGGCAUGUUGUUGGAGAAAGUAUCUGCACUUGACUGUGUGGUGCGGUAUCCAGGAUUUUACUGUGAGGACAUUCAAGUGUUUUAAGCAGGCACACGCCUUGAAUAAAUUAGCAUGGAAUAAUAAGAUAGGACCUGCGUUCUAUUUUGUUGGUUUCUAGAGCUGAGGUAGUGAUGAAUAGGGAUAGUUGGGGGCAUUCGUAUUUCACUGUCAGAGGUGAGAUUCUUGGAUUUGUUAAAAACGGACUACUGCGAAAGCAUUUGCCAAGGAUGUUUUCAUUGAUCAAGAACGAAAGUUAGGGGAUCGAAGAUGAUCAGAUACCGU